rnacentral:rRNA from 2 species
UUGAAAAGAACUUUGAAGAGAGAGUUCAAGAGUACGUGAAACCGUUCAGGGGUAAACCUAAGAAACCCAAAAGAUCGAACGGGGAGAUUCAUCGUCAGCGGCGUUGGCUUCGCGUCGGUGGGCGAUGUCCCGCGAGUUCGCUCGCGGGCACGCUGCCGUGCGCGCACGUCCGACGUCGUCGUCGUGCACUUCUCCCCUAGUAGGACGUCGCGACUCGCUGGGUGUCGGUCUACGGCCCGAGAGCGGUGUCUGUCGCGUCGCCGGUAAAACGGCACGCGGCAAACCCUCGGUCGCCCGGCCGGCUGCCCGGCGGUACUCGCAAGGUAUCAGGCCGCGAAAAACUAUGUCUUUCGCGUCAAGCCCGUCGCAAGCGCGCGCCACGGUACCCGGAGGUACGGACCCAGUGCCGUCCCCGGUCCUGGCCCGCUGUUGGCCGACGGUGAUCCUUUGACAGGCCUUAACCCGGGGGCGGGCGGUGUGCCACGCGCGCCGCUCCCCUCGAUACCGGUCGGCGACGCUACUGCUUUGGGUACUCUUAGGACCCGUCUUGAAACACGGACCAAGGAGUCUAACAUGUGCGCGAGUCAUUGGGACUAGCAAAACCUAAAGGCGAAAUGAAAGUGAAGGUCGGCCCUGGCGCCGACCGAGGGAGGAUGGGCAGCGUCGCGAUGCGGCCUCGCACUCCCGGGGCGUCUCGUUCUCAUUGCGAGAAGAGGCGCACCAAGAGCGUACACGUUGGGACCCGAAAGAUGGUGAACUAUGCCUGGUCAGGACGAAGUCAGGGGAAACCCUGAUGGAGGUCCGUAGCGAUUCUGACGUGCAAAUCGAUCGUCGGAACUGGGUAUAGGGGCGAAAGACUAAUCGAACCAUCUAGUAGCUGGUUCCCUCCGAAGUUUCCCUCAGGAUAGCUGGCACUCGGCCGUUCCACGGAACGCGCGCGAGUCUCAUCUGGUAAAGCGAAUGAUUAGAGGCCUUGGGGCCGAAACGACCUCAACCUAUUCUCAAACUUUAAAUGGGUGAGAUCUCUGGCUUUCUUGAAUUAUGAAGCCACGAGCAUCUCGGAUCAGAGUGCCAAGUGGGCCAAUUUUGGUAAGCAGAACUGGCGCUGUGGGAUGAACCAAACGCAGAGUUAAGGCGCCUAACUCGACGCUCAUGGGACACCAUGAAAGGCGUUGGUUGCUUAAGACAGCAGGACGGUGGCCAUGGAAGUCGGAAUCCGCUAAGGAGUGUGUAACAACUCACCUGCCGAAGCAACUAGCCCUGAAAAUGGAUGGCGCUGAAGCGUCGAGCCUAUACUCUGCCGUCAGCGGCAAGUGGGGCGGGGGUGUAACAGCCCCCGUCACGAAGCCCUGACGAGUAGGAGGGUCGCGGCGGUGUGCGCAGAAGGGUCU